GUGGGGAAUAUUGGACAAUGGGGGCAACCCUGAUCCAGCCAUGCCGCGUGUGUGAAGAAGGCCUUCGGGUUGUAAAGCACUUUAAGCGGGGAGGAAGGUUCGCUGGCUAAUAUCCAGCGGAAUUGACGUUACCUGCAGAAUAAGCACCGGCUAACUCUGUGCCAGCAGCCGCGGUAAUACAGAGGGUGCAAGCGUUAAUCGGAAUUACUGGGCGUAAAGCGCGCGUAGGCGGUUGUGUAAGUUGGAGGUGAAAUCCCCGGGCUUAACCUGGGCACUGCCUUCAAAACUGCACGGCUAGAGUAUGGGAGAGGAAGGUAGAAUUCCAGGUGUAGCGGUGAAAUGCGUAGAGAUCUGGAGGAAUACCGAUGGCGAAGGCAGCCUUCUGGCCUAAUACUGACGCUGAGGUGCGAAAGCAUGGGGAGCAAACAGGAUUAGAAACCCUUGUAGUCC
rnacentral:rRNA from 1 species